rnacentral:misc_RNA from 1 species
GAUGAAGAACGCAGCGAAAUGCGAUAAGUAAUGUGAAUUGCAGAAUUCAGUGAAUCAUCGAAUCUUUGAACGCACAUUGCGCCCCCUGGUAUUCCGGGGGGCAUGCCUGUCCGAGCGUCAUUACAACCCUCAAGCUCAGCUUGGUGUUGGGCCCCGCCGCCCCGGCGGGCCCUAAAGUCAGUGGCGGUGCCGUCCGGCUCCGAGCGUAGUAAUUCUUCUCGCUCUGGAGGUCCGGUCGUGUGCUCGCCAGCAACCCCCAAUUUUUUUCAGGUUGACCUCGGAUCAGGUAGGGGUACCCGCUGAACUUAAGCAUAUCAAUAAGCGGAGGA